GGGGAAUAUUGCACAAUGGGGGAAACCCUGAUGCAGCGACGCCGCGUGGAGGAAGAAGGUCUUCGGAUUGUAAACUCCUGUUGUUGAGGAAGAUAAUGACGGUACUCAACAAGGAAGUGACGGCUAACUACGUGCCAGCAGCCGCGGUAAAACGUAGGUCACAAGCGUUGUCCGGAAUUACUGGGUGUAAAGGGAGCGCAGGCGGGAAGACAAGUUGGAAGUGAAAUCUAUGGGCUCAACCCAUAAACUGCUUUCAAAACUGUUUUUCUUGAGUAGUGCAGAGGUAGGCGGAAUUCCCGGUGUAGCGGUGGAAUGCGUAGAUAUCGGGAGGAACACCAGUGGCGAAGGCGGCCUACUGGGCACCAACUGACGCUGAGGCUCGAAAGUGUGGGUAGCAAACAGGAUUAGAUACCCUGGUAGUCCACACCGUAAACGAUGAUUACUAGGUGUUGGAGGAUUGACCCCUUCAGUGCCGCAGUUAACACAAUAAGUAAUCCACCUGGGGAGUACGACCGCAAGGUUGAAACUCAAAGGAAUUGACGGGGGCCCGCACAAGCAGUGGAGUAUGUGGUUUAAUUCGACGCAACGCGAAGAACCUUACCAAGUCUUGACAUCCCUUGACGGACAUAGAAAUAUGUUUUCUCUUCGGAGCAAGGAGACAGGUGGUGCAUGGUUGUCGUCAGCUCGUGUCGUGAGAUGUUGGGUUAAGUCCCGCAACGAGCGCAACCCUUAUGGUCAGUUACUACGCAAGAGGACUCUGGCCAGACUGCCGUUGACAAAACGGAGGAAGGUGGGGAUGACGUCAAAUCAUCAUGCCCUUUAUGACUUGGGCUACACACGUACUACAAUGGCGUUAAACAAAGAGAAGCAAGACCGCGAGGUGGAGCAAAACUCAGAAACAACGUCCCAGUUCGGACUGCAGGCUGCAACUCGCCUGCACGAAGUCGGAAUUGCUAGUAAUCGUGGAUCAGCAUGCCACGGUGAAUACGUUCCCG
rnacentral:rRNA from 1 species